UAAAUUUAGGCCUUUUUGCAUAAAAAAUCCACUUAUUUUGGGCUUUUGCAAAAUCGGGUCACCUUUUUCGUUUUUGCAGAUUCGGUCUGCUUUUUCAGCAAACUGACCAAAAUAUCUUUAUUACUUUUUCUUCUCUUUCCGCUUUCUCUCUCCUCUUUGUUUCUGUCGUUCUUUUUUUUUCUCACCGAAAAAAAAGAGGCGGACUGGACCGUCGCCUUCUUCUUCACCGUCGCCUCCCUCCUCACCCUCCUUUUUCACCGUCGCCUCCCUCCUCACCCUCCUCUCCACCGCCCGCGACCCCCUCCUCCUCU
rnacentral:lncRNA from 1 species